AGGAAGUGACAUCAUGCUCCAAACCGGAAAUGCCGUCACAUCCAGAAACAUGGCCGGCUGUCACAUUAAGACGUCAAGAACCUGUUUGCCUUGGGAGACCCUACCAGGGGGCAUAAAGACCCCGGACAACAUAGCUCCUAGGAUCAUUGGGACACGCAAACUCCUCUACCCCGAUAAGGUGGCAGCUCAGAGAGGAGUGAAUAAUACUUCAACAAAAUAUAAAUGAAUAGGAACAAGGGAGCAGCAGGGGCCACAGACUGUUUGGCCAAUGUUGUGUCUAUCAUCCUUGAACUGCUGAGGUUAUCCGGGAUGUCAUCUAUCAGUCGGAACCAAACUUGGAGCACACAAGGUUACAUUCAGAAUAUUUCCUUGGAGGUUCUGAGCCCUUGAGAGGCACUGCACACGUGCUGACACCUUGCAUUUCACGGCGUGACAACAAGGUAUGGGGGGGGGCAUGUUACUGUCGAGCGCGGCGGGCGGACUUUUGACUGCGGAAGCUUUCACGCUCACUUAAGGAAUCUACGUUGUUACGUACCCAGCCAGCACCAACACCCGAUAAGUGAUCGGCAGGCCGGUGCGGGUCCAAAGUUUGCGUGGUGCUUUGUCGUUGGAAGAGGGGAGAGUUAGGUGAGUGUUGAAAUAAUGAUGUAGAUAUUAUCAUCAUAACUUUAUGCUUAAGGGCCGUCGAUAUAAAUUAUUGUCAAUUGUGCUGAAGUGGUAUUUUUCUAUCUGUGCAAGGACAAAAACUUCUUGUCUGAGGGGUGGCCUUAGCCGCAGAUGUUAUCUUGUUUUAGCCCACUAACAGCCAAGGAUUUCAAGGACCUCAACGCAGAUAAGACGACAGCACGCAGACGAAGCAGAGACAAGGCGAAAUCACAGCACAUUAUGUCACGUAUUGUGUGUCCUGGACCUGCUUUGCAUGACAUAUGUGACCACUCCUUUUAGAGGCGGCCCCAGUGAUGUUGACUGGGGAACUCGUAAAUAAAUAGAGGGAUGCGGAAGCUGAACCUUAGAGCAUAGGGCGAGACUGUGACUGUGACUAAGUGUGCAGCUCCAUGCGUUCUCCUCAUGAGCUAAAUUGAACUCUGUCUCUGCAUGGUUCCUUGCUUCUUGUCUGAUUAAUAGAUGUCAUCAGUGUUUGAACCUGACAGAGAGUGGCCGUGCCAGCAACCUGAGGGUUCCUGGCUCAAUCCCCAGCUUCUACCAACCUCGUCGCGUCCGUCGUUUUUGAGCAAGACACUUUACCCUUGCUCCUGAUGGGUCGUGUUUAGGGCUUUGCAUGGCAGCUCCUGCCAUCAGUGUGUGAAUGUGUGUGAAUGGGUGAAUGUGGAAAUAGUGUCAAAGCGCUUCGAGUACCUUGAAGGUAGAAAAGCGCUAUACAAGUAUAACUCUUUUUUGGUUCAGUUUCCUGUUUGUCUCCCUGAGUGCUGUGUCCCCUCAGCUGCGGCCACACCUGGUGUCAAUUAGCCCGCACCUAUUUAGACCUGUUUUAUCCUCCAGUCAGUGCUGAAUUAUUGUAUUGUCGCUCCUUUCGUCUCGUGACGUGUCUUUGCAGCGUAGCGGUAAGCCAUAUUUCGGUAGCUGUUUGCAGCUUACCGUUUAUUGUUCCCUGCUUCCAGUUUGUUUUCAUGCUACAAGUAACGACUUCUGUUUCCUGCUCGUUAUCUUCUAGCUCCCGUGCUAGUUCUUUUAGUUUGUUAUCCGCUUUGUGUGCGCAUUUUGUUAGUACCAUUUUUUUUUUUGUGCUUGUCCUAGUAUUUUAAUUAAAUCAUGUUUCCUUACUCAAUGCCUGCCUCCUUCUCUGCAUCUUGGGGUUCGUCACUAACUCUGACAAAUGUGGCCCCCCGAGUGAAAACAUUUGCCCAGCUCUGAUCUACAUCAAUAACCGGCAUUUUCACCAAUAUUCAGGAAUUCUUUGGUGCGGUUCCAAUGAUUUGUUCCAGCCAAGAAACUCACCUGGCAGAAUAGUUAGAAGCAAUCAGCGCGCGCAUGGGACAAUUCCACUUCCUGCCCACUUUUGGCACUGGAGGCGGCAGCUUGCACGACAAGAGGCAGUUUGCCUGUCCCCCCCGCCCUCGUGUUCCCUCACCAGCGUGUGGCCCAUCUCUCCUGGCCACUUACAAACCCCAGCGAUAAGGCAAGCCGGUCAAGCCCGAGAUGAGUGUCAUGCGCCCUGCGUGCGUCCGUGUAAUUGUCCCGCGUUGCGUGACGGUGUGCGUGUCCGUCGGGGCCCCGCGUUGCACGUCAGUGCAGCCGAUGUGGGUGGGGGGGGGGCGGCAGGGGUCAUGCGCGCCCAGCAAGGCGAGGCCAUCAGGUUCUCAGCGAACAGGCCAAGAGGUCCGUAGGGGGCCAUUAAAGACUUAACUGGCUCCCGGCAGCUUUAUUUAUCAAAGAGAUCCUGAGCCGUGCAGUUCCCGCAGCUUGACUUUCAUUAGCCUGCUAAUGUGCUACUGGCAGGAGAGCACAGCGGAUUAGUGCUUGCUCUUUAAAGCGCUCCACUUUGCACAAACACUGUCACUCAUCUAGCACUUAUGAGCAGCAGGUGCCCCCCCACAAAACAAAAAUAUUCUUCCCAAAGACUUCCUGACAGUGUCAAACCACAAUUAAAGAAAACAUUCGUAAGUGGAUAAUUACUUUUUCAACAACUUAAAGCAUACUUGCCAACCCUCCCGGAUUUUCCAGGAGACUCCUGAAAUUCAGCGCCUCUCCCAAAAACCUCCCGGGACAAAUUUUCUCCCGAAAAUCUCCCGAAAUUCAGGCGGAGCUGGAGGCCACGCCCCCCUCCAGCUCCAUGCGGACCUGAGUGACCGUGACGUCUAUCAAUCAAUCAAUCAAUGUUUAUUUAUAUAGCCCCAAAUCACAAAUGUCUCAAAGGACUGCACAAAUCAUUACGACUACAACAUCCUCGGAAGAACCCACAAAAGGGCAAGGAAAACUCACACCCAGUGGGCAGGGAGAAUUCACAUCCAGUGGGACGCCAGUGGCAAUGCUGACUAUGAGAAACCUUGGAGAGGACCUCAGAUGUGGGCAACCCAACCCCCUCUAGGGGACCGAAAGCAAUGGAUGUCGAGCGGGUCUAACAUGAUACUGUGAAAGUUCAAUCCAUAGUGGCUCCAAGACAGCAGCGAGAGUCCCGUCCACAGGAAACCAUCUCAAGCGGAUCAGCAGCGUAGAGAUGUCCCCAACCGAUACAGGCGAGCGGUCCAUCCUGGGUCCCGACGAGCGGUCCAUCCUGGGUCUCGACUCUGGACAGCCAGUACUUCAUCCAUGGUCAUCGGACCGGACCCCCUCCACAAGGGAGGGGGGGACAUAGGAGAAAGAAAAGAAGCGGCAGAUCAACUGGUCUAAAAAGGAGGUCUAUUUAAAGGCUAGAGUAUACAGAUGAGUUUUAAGGUGAGACUUAAAUGCUUCUAUAAUGAGCGUUAUAACUAUAGAAUGAUCGAGGGCGACUUCUUGGUUUCUUAUGUGGGUUUAUUGUUAGGCAGUUUCAUUAACGUCCUCCCAGCGCGGUAAAACAACACACAACAACAGCAGUCCGUUUUCGUCUACCGUAAAGCAGUUCGUCUGCCAAACAGCAAUGUUGUGACACUCUUAAACAGGACAAUACUGCCACCUACUGUACAUGCAUAUGGUUAGAAAAACAAGGAUGGACGAUUCAACCCUUAACUCAACAAUGAGUAGAUGAGUGUUAUGUGUGUGUAAAUGUGUAAAUAAAUGAACACUGAAAUUCAAGUAUUUCUCUUAUAUAUAAUAAAAUAAAUAUAUAUGUAUAUAUAUAUAUAUAUAUAUAUAUAUAUAUACAUAUAUAUAUAUAUAUGUAGGUGUGGGAAAAAUCACAAGACUACUUCAUCUCUACAGAACUGUUUCAUGAGGGGUUCCCUCAAUCAUCAGGAGAUUUUAAUGGAAGCAUUCACAUACAAUGGUUUAUAUAGGGCACAUAGUGGGUGGGUACAAGCAGGCGUAGGGUGUGGUGAUUGGCUCAUGUGUUACCUAGGAGGUGUUUCCGUCCGUGGCGGCAUGUUGAAAUGAUUUCACUGCGCUUGUUGAGGGAUGAUAGAACUGGAUGAUAUAUAAUAAACAGUUUCUAUUUCAAGCAUUGGUUGCAUCUCUUAUUGCCACUGUUGUAAGGUGUGCUGGAUGCAAGAAUUUGCCAUGUUAUUGAAUAUUCAACAUUAUUGUCUUUGAGGUUCCAAAUGUGCUUGCUGAGUUCUGUAAAAUUCCGCAAAGUCUGGUUUCUUAAGGAGGCGUUGUGAUUAUUCCAUCUUGUUUUGAACGCUCCUUCGGUUAAUCCUACGUACGUGUCGGAUGUGUUAAUGUCCUUGCGUGUUACCUUUGCUUGGUAAACGACUGAUGUCUGUAAGCACCCUCCGUUGAGAGGGCAAUCAGGUUUCUUGCGACAGUUACAUUCCUUAUUGGUUUCAGAGUCGUUUAGUCUGGGGGUAGGCAGUCCUUUUGCAAUUGCUUUGUUGUGGUUUGAAAUGAUUUGUUGCAUGUUAUUCAUACAGCUGUAGCUCAAUUUAAUGUUGUUCUUGUUGAAUAUUUUUCUUAGGGUGUUGCCUUUGGGGAAGUGUUUGUCGAUCAGAGUGAGGAACUUGUGGCCGAUGUUGGUUGAGACGUUUUUGCUGAAUGGCGGAUUGUACCAGAUGAUGUUGUUUCGUUUUCUGCUCUUUUUUGGUUGGUUUCCUGGAGUGGGUUCAUAGGUGAGGGUGAAGUUGUAUCCGCUUUCAUCAAGUGCUUUCUGGUACAGGGGGGUUGCUUGGUCGAAUUCAGCUUUGCUAGAUGACAGCAUCGAUAGCCUUUUAUUGAUUCCGGUAGGUAUUCUUUUCGUGGUGGUGGGUGGGUGGUUGCUGUCGUGGUGCACGUAUUGGAGUGUUGUGUUGGGUUUCGUGAAUGGUUGGUAGCUGUUAUUUCUCAGGUUGAAAGUGACGUCGAGGAAGUUGACGGUUUGCUUGUUGGCUUCAAUCGUGAUCCGUAGGCCGUUUUCUUUGAAGAUUUGGCAGAUGCGUUUCUUGGUGUUCUCGCUGCUCCUUGGCGAGGUGCGGCACACUGCCAGUCCGUCAUCACGGUAAAUACCAAGGUUCAGGUUGAGGCUAGCAAGCUGGGAGAGGAGGAAACUCCCAACGAGUUCGCACGUUUCUGCUCCGUCAAAACUCCCCAUAGUAACGUCAAAUGUUGAAUUGUUCUUUUUCUGCCAUGGUGAACUGUUGUGGAUGAGUAUGGAGUUCUUUGCAUGGAUGAUGAUGUUUCUUUCGUUGCCUGUGAUUGAAUCGUAGUCCGAGGCGAAGUUUAGUGCUUGGGUCAGUAGGUCUUGCGUGAUGGAAGGGUAAAAAUACAACUCAGUAUUCUUUUUCCUCCAAACACAACGAGUUGAGUUAAUACCAAAAAGUUGUAUUUUGGUUUCAUCUGACCACAUGACAUUCUCCCAAUCCUCUGCUGUAUCAUCCAUGUAUCCAUUUUGGUAUAAACUCAACUCGUCGUUGGGAGGAAGAAGAAUACUGAAUUGCAUCCCAAGAACACCAUACCUACUGUGAAGCAUGGAGGUGGAACAUCAUGCUUUGGGGCUGUUUUUCUGCUAAGGGCACAGGACGAUUGAUCCGUGUUAAGGAGAGAAUGAAUGGGGCCAUGUAUCGUGAGAUUUUGAGCCAAAACCUCCUUUCAUCAGUGAGAGCUUUGGAUGGUUGACCAAAUACUUAUUUUCCACCAUAAUUUACAAAUAUAUUUUUUUAAAUUCCUACAAUGUGAAUUCCUGGAUUUUUUUUUUCACAUUCUGUCUCUCACAGUUGAAGUGUACCUAUGAUGAACAUUACAGACCUCUAUCAUCAUUUUAAGUGGGAGAACUUGCACAAUCGGUGGCUGACUAAAUACUUUUUGCCCCACUGUAAAUGUUUUGGUCCGAGUCUACUUAGGAUUGUUUGACCCGGCGGAGGGUCUGCAUUCUAGUGCGUGCUGUUCGAGUCUUGCGUUCUUAUUGGAUCUCUAUGAAAUGACGUCAAAGGAUAACCAAAUUGGCGUCAAUAUCAUGGGAUGGUUUUAACAAAAUUCCUUGAAACCUUCGGCUGAUGUGCGGCGUGAACCUUUGUUGGCCCAUCUUGCAGUCGGGUCAAGGAUACUUGAGGACAACCAGGGGAGACGGGCUUGAUCCCUCCCUGUUUUGGCAGCUGGAAUAAAGGGAUCUACUGUAAGUCAUUCAUGAGCUGCGUUGCACUCUGACAUGCGAGCCACUAAUGUCGGAGCGGUAGAAAACCAGCCUUAUUUGGCUAUUUGCGGUGGUACAUGAUGAGUCGUAUCGGGGAAGCGCAGGUGAAGUGAAUUAUAUUUAUAUAGCGCUUUUUCUCUAGUGACUCAAAGAGAUUUACAUAGUGAAACCCAAUAUCUAAGUUACAUUUAAACCAGUGUGGAUGGCACUGGGAACAGGUGGGUGAUGUGUCUUGCCCAAGGACACAACGGCAGUGACUGGGAUGGCGGAAGCCAGGAUCGAACCUGGAACCCUGACGCGGCAGUUCUACCAACCAAGCUAUACCGACCCAAAUAAGGUGGUCAGGGAGAGCGUUCCACAGACUGGAUGCGGCGGAGCAGAAAGCCCGGACUCCCAUUGUUCAUAGCUUGGUCCUCGGAGGUUGGAGGAGGUAAAUAAAACCGUAUUUGUUUCCAAAUUUUGUGGCCUUUGUAAAAGCAUCCACAGUCCGUGGUGCCCUCAGGUGGUCAGGGAGAGCGUUCCACAGACUGGGAGCGGCGGAGCAGAAAGCCCGGUCUCCCGUUGCUCGUAGCUCUGUCCUUGGAGGUUGGAGGAGUCUGUGGUGCCCUCAGGUGGUCAGGGAGAGCGUUCCACAGACUGGGAGCGGCGGAGGAGAAAGCCCAGUCUCCCAUUGCUUGUAGCUCUGUCCUCUGAGGUUGGAGGAGGUGCUCAGGGAGAGCGUUCCACAGCCUAGGAGCGGCGGAGCAGAAAGCCCGGUCUCCCGUUGUUCGUAGCUCUGUCCUCAGAGGUUGGAGGAGGUAGAUAAAACUGCAUUUGUUUCCUAAUUUUGUGGCCUUUGUAAAAGCAUCCAGAGUCUGCUAUGCCCUAAGUUGGUCAGGGAGAGCGUUCCACAGACUGGGAGCGGCGGAGCAGAAAGCCCGGUCUCCCAUUGCUUGUAGCUUGGUCCUCGGAGGUUGGAGGAGGUGCUCAGGGAGAGCGUUCCACAGCCUGGUAGCGGCGGAGCAGAAAGCCCGGUCUCC